UAACGAUGGAAAGCUUGCUUUCCAGUCGACGAGUGGCGGACGGGUGAGUAAUGCAUAGGAAUCUACCCAGUAGCGGGGGACAACGUGUGGAAACGCACGCUAAUACCGCAUACGCCUUACGGGGGAAAGCGGGGGACCUUCGGGCCUCGCACUAUUGGAUGAGCCUAUGUCUGAUUAGCUAGUUGGUAGGGUAAAAGCCUACCAAGGCGACGAUCAGUAGCUGGUUUGAGAGAAUGAUCAGCCACACUGGGACUGAGACACGGCCCAGACUCC
rnacentral:rRNA from 2 species